rnacentral:rRNA from 1 species
GACGUAGGGCGCGAGCGUUGUCCGGAUUUAUUGGGCGUAAAGAGCUCGUAGGCGGCUUGUCGCGUCGUUCGUGAAAACCCGGGGCUCAACCCCGAGCCUGCAGUCGAUACGGGCAGACUAGAGUGCUGUAGGGGAGACUGGAAUUCCUGGUGUAGCGGUGAAAUGCGCAGAUAUCAGGAGGAACACCGGUGGCGAAGGCGGGUCUCUGGGCAGUAACUGACGCUGAGGAGCGAAAGCGUGGGGAGCGAACAGG